rnacentral:rRNA from 1 species
GACAGAGGGUGCAAACGUUGUUCGGAAUUACUGGGCGUAAAGCGCGUGUAGGCGGCUUGGCAAGUCGGUUGUGAAAUCCCGGGCCCCAACCCCGGAACUGCAUUCGAAACUGCCUCGCUAGAGUCCCGGAGAGGAAGGGCGGAAUUCCCCGGUGUAGAGGUGGAAAUUCGUAGAUAUCGGGAGGAACACCAGCGGCGAAGGCG